GUGAUUAUGGCUCAGUGGUAGAGUGCUCACCUAGCACGUGGGAGGCCCUGGGUUCAAUCCUUAGCACCACA
rnacentral:tRNA from 1 species